AUGUUUGAACUUGAAAGAAAUAUUAUGUUCCCUCUGGUUUAUCGCCUUAUUGAGUUGGGGUUGCUUCUACCAGUGGCAACGGCAUCGGUUGAAAGGGCCUUCUCAGCAAUGGAGAUCAUCAAGACCGAUUUGCGCAGCAAGAUGUCCAGUGGUUGUCUUGAUGACUUAAUGGUGUGCUACAGAGAGAGAGAGAGAGAGAGAGAGAGAGAGAGAGAGAGAGAGAGAGAUUUAAAGGACUUGAUCUUGCUAAAAUUAAAAAAGAAUUUCAACAUGAAGGUAGAAGAAUGUCGUUGCCACGUUCUAUUUAAUGGGAGUAGAUACUUAUUAUGGGUAUGUAUUCUUUCUAAAUCUUCACUUGCAUACUGUUGUUUCCAUCAUUAUAUCCUAGUUGUUACUAAUUCAUGA
rnacentral:rRNA from 1 species